rfam:Piloderma croceum F 1598 unplaced genomic scaffold scaffold_00033, whole genome shotgun sequence.
GGCACGAUGGCUGAGUGGUUAAGGCGUCGGUCUUAAGCAUCCUUUGCUUCAAGUUAUCCGAUGGAGAAAUCCUCGCGAGUUCGAACCUCGCUCGUGUCA